UCAGCAGAUUGUGUCUUGCAAGAAAGAUUACCAUCGAAUUGCUUGAGAAAAUUCCACAAUAAUUAUUCUCUGUAUUUAGGCUGUAAAUUGUAUAAAGAAUAAAAAAUUCAUCAUGUUUCGAAUGGAAUUACCCCCGACUGACGCCGCCGAGGAGAAGCGCAAGGUACGGAAAGCAGUCCAGCAGAAUCUGUUUGCCUUCGUUGCACUGUGCGUUGCCAUCCGGAUUGCUCCUCUGCUGCUCAACCAGCCCAGUGGUGUAUAAAAGUGGGAUUGCUAUUUUAAGGGCAUUUCUGCAAUAAACGGCUUUUAAAAAUGAA